rnacentral:sRNA from 1 species
CGCCUAAACUCUAAAUAUUUUAGAGCAUGGCGGAAAAGAAUCCAGUACAGGAAACGAGAGCUCCUCGUUCAGCUCACCUGUACUGGUCAUAACUCGAAAGGGUUAUGGGAGUCCGAAAGGAUUCC